UACGUAGGGUGCGAGCGUUGUCCGGAAUUAUUGGGCGUAAAGGGCUCGUAGGCGGUCUGUCGCGUCGAAAGUGAAAACCCAGGGCUUAACCCUGGGACUGCUUCCGAUACGGGCAGACUAGAGGUAUGCAGGGGAGAACGGAAUUCCUGGUGUAGCGGUGAAAUGCGCAGAUAUCAGGAGGAACACCGGUGGCGAAGGCGGUUCUCUGGGCAUUACCUGACGCUGAGGAGCGAAAGUGUGGGGAGCAAACAGG
rnacentral:rRNA from 1 species